rnacentral:rRNA from 1 species
UACGGAGGGGGCUAGCGUUGUUCGGAAUUACUGGGCGUAAAGGGCGCGUAGGCGGCGAUUCAAGUCAGGCGUGAAAGGCCUGGGCUCAACCCGGGAACUGCGUUUGAUACUGGAUUGCUGGAGUCCGGGAGAGGAUGGCGGAAUUCCCAGUGUAGAGGUGAAAUUCGUAGAUAUUGGGAAGAAUACCGGUGGCGAAGGCGGCCAUCUGGACCGGAACUGACGCUGAGGCGCGAAAGCGUGGGGAGCAAACAGG